rnacentral:piRNA from 1 species
UAGACUGAAAAAAUUUUUUUU